rnacentral:rRNA from 1 species
GAUGAACGCUGGCGGCGUGCCUAAUACAUGCAAGUCGAGCGAACAGACGAGGAGCUUGCUUCUCUGAUGUUAGCGGCGGACGGGUGAGUAACACGUGGAUAACCUACCUAUAAGACUGGGAUAACUUCGGGAAACCGGAGCUAAUACCGGAUAAUAUUUUGAACCGCAUGGUUCAAAAGUGAAAGACGGUCUUGCUGUCACUUAUAGAUGGAUCCGCGCCGCAUUAGCUAGUUGGUAAGGUAACGGCUUACCAAGGCAACGAUGCAUAGCCGACCUGAGAGGGUGAUCGGCCACACUGGAACUGAGACACGGUCCAGACUCCUACGGGAGGCAGCAGUAGGGAAUCUUCCGCAAUGGGCGAAAGCUUGACGGAGCAACGCCGCGUGAGUGAUGAAGGUCUUCGGAUCGUAAAACUCUGUUAUUAGGGAAGAACAAAUGUGUAAGUAACUAUGCACAUCUUGACGGUACCUAAUCAGAAAGCCACGGCUAACUACGUG